AAAUUUCUUUUCCUCUCUCUUUCAUGUAUUUUGAAAUAAGUUGAAAGUGGUUGAAGUAUGUUGUUCCAGUGUUUUUCCUUUAUUUACUGCUUUCCUAUGUAUUUUUUAAUAUUAGUAUAUAUUAGCAUAAUGCUUUUGUUCCAAAUAUAUAUGUUAUGAGCUAUCUGGGCCAUAUAAAGCUUGCUUCAAAUCUCUGAUUGGUGUGUGUUCUCAGCAUUAACUGUUGUUGUAUGCUUUUCUGCAUGAGCUGCUAGGUCUACAUGAACACUAUCACACCAGGGGGAAGAGAAAGCGUGGUUGACAUCUUGGAACUGAAAGAGUCUCCAUCUUCCAGUCAAUUCUGUGUCAGGCUUUCAGCAACCCAUGCCAUUUCAAAUAACAUGUUGGAUCAAUCCAAUAACUUAUCAUCCUCACUAGUUGAGUGUGCCAAUAUCAAUUCUGUAUGGG